AAGUUGAAUAUCUCCUUCCUGGUCACCUGCUGACAGAAACUCACUGAUGUGGACAAGGAAUGCAAGCUUUGUACUUUUCUCUGAGAAGCAUAUGGCCUCAGAAGUACCGCUGAUGCUCUGGGUGAAAAGUGGAAGGGUCGUGUGGUCUGACUCAGGAAUGAAAAUGAGGUUUUCCCAUGAGGCAAGUUAUCUUGACCCAUGGCAGAGUGUAGCUGAUGUGGAGUAAAGGUCUGAGUAAAGGCCAUUCUUGUUACAUUUAAGAAUGCAUUGUGGAUGCCAAUCAGAGUGUUCUUAACUUGGUUACUGUAUAAAAGGACAUAAGGAUAUUCCUGGGCUGACAGGUCCUACUGAGCCUUGGCACUUGUGGCUCCAAAGAGCUAAAAGAAUCUGAAAGCUGUUCAAUCUCCCUAAAGAAGAUGAUGUCCUCCAGUAAACAGAAAGCCCUUAAAGAAAGGUAAGAAGCCCAGGACCAAAGCGCUCAAGGUUCCGUGUCUUGUCCGUCCACGUGUCCUGCAGCACACGCACUGAUGUACUGUUCUGAAAAACAACUCACUAAGAAAAACCAGGAAGAAGCUGUAGAAUACGCUAAACCAUUGACCUAGAGAAUGAAGGAAGCCAAAGAAAAGCACCAGGAACAGACCGCCAAGAGAUGCAGGCUGUCCUUCCUCGGAGCUUCUCCUUCUAAGUCCGGAUCCAGUAAA
rnacentral:lncRNA from 1 species